GUACUUACCUGGCAGGGGAGACACCAUGAUCAUGAAGGUGGUUUUACCAGGGUGAGGCUUAUCCAUUGCACUCCAGAUGUGCUGUCACCUGUGAUCUCCCCAAAUAUGGAAAACCCAGCUGCUUAUUUGUGGUCUUGGGAGACUACAUUCACACUCUACCCUG